GCAUCAAUAAAUCAGGAGACACCUGACCUGUGUACCUGGACUAACCAUCCCAUCAUCAUAAAGAAAAGAAAAGAUAACUAUACAAAAGCCCAUGCCUUUUACAUUCGGGCAAAAAAAGGUGAAAGCCUGGACACUGAGCCGGAGGAUGGGGAUAAGAAGCGACAGAGAAAGAAGAAUUUGAAAUAUCACUUGGAU